rnacentral:rRNA from 1 species
UUUAGAGUUUUGAUCCUGGCUCAGGAUGAACGCUGGCGGCGUGCCUAAUACAUGCAAGUCGAGCGAAUGGAUUAAGAGCUUGCUCUUAUGAAGUUAGCGGCGGACGGGUGAGUAACACGUGGGUAACCUGCCCAUAAGACUGGGAUAACUCCGGGAAACCGGGGCUAAUACCGGAUAACAUUUUGAACCGCAUGGUUCGAAAUUGAAAGGCGGCUUCGGCUGUCACUUAUGGAUGGACCCGCGUCGCAUUAGCUAGUUGGUGAGGUAACGGCUCACCAAGGCAACGAUGCGUAGCCGACCUGAGAGGGUGAUCGGCCACACUGGGACUGAGACACGGCCCAGACUCCUACGGGAGGCAGCAGUAGGGAAUCUUCCGCAAUGGACGAAAGUCUGACGGAGCAACGCCGCGUGAGUGAUGAAGGCUUUCGGGUCGUAAAACUCUGUUGUUAGGGAAGAACAAGU